rnacentral:rRNA from 1 species
UACAGAGGUCCCGAGCGUUGUUCGGAUUUAUUGGGCGUAAAGGGUGCGUAGGCGGCGGAGUAAGUUGGGUGUGAAAUCCCGGGGCUUAACCUCGGAAUGGCAUUCAAUACUGCUUCGCUUGAGUACUGGAGAGGAGGCUGGAAUUUACGGUGUAGCAGUGAAAUGCGUAGAUAUCGAGAGGAACACCUGCGGCGAAGGCGGGUUGCUGGGCCGACACUGACGCUGAUGCGCGAAAGCCAGGGGAGCGAACGGG